rnacentral:rRNA from 1 species
UGAAUCAAUUUAGUUUGAAUUUAAAGAUUUAUUAUUAAAGUAAAGAGAAAUUUGAUUUAAAAAAAGUAUUUUUUUGUUUUUUUAUAUUUAUAGAUAAAAUUAAAAUUUAUUAUAGAAUAAUAGUAUAGAGAUAGAAAUAUUUAAAUAUUUGAAAUAAAUUAAAUUUUUUAAAGAAAAUUUAAAUUAUUGUACCUUGUGUAUCAGGGUUUAUUAAAUAAAAAUUAUAGAUUUAAUUUUCUCGAAUUUAAAAGAGCUAAGAAAUUAUUUAUUUUAUUGUUACAUAAAUAUUUGAAAUAAUUUUUUAGAAAUGAAACGUUAGUCGUUUUUAAAUUUAUCUAGUUUUUUAAGAAAUAAAUUUAAUUUAGUUAUUUAUUAUGUAAUUAAGAUAAUUUACUAUUUAAAUUAAUAUAAAUAAUUAAUAUUUUAAGGGAUAAGCUUUAAAAUAAAUUUUUGAGAAAUAGGUUUUAAUUAUAGAAAAAUUUAUAGGAGUGGAAGUAUUUAUUUAUUAUAGUGUUUUAUAACAAUUUUUUUUUAAUAUAAAAUUUAUAUAUUAUUUUCAAUAUUUUAUUAAAAUUAUUAAUCUAAUAGAAGAAUUAAUGUAAUAAUGAUAAAAUUAGUAUAAUUUUAUGUUAAUUAAAUUAAUCUAUUAAGGUUGAAUUAAGGAACUCGGCAAAAUAUCUUUUCGCCUGUUUAUUAAAAACAUGUCUUUUUGAUUUUAAUUUAAAGUCUGACCUGCCCUAUGAUAUUAAUAUUAAAUGGCCGCGAUAGCUUGAUCGUGCAAAGGUAGCAUAAUCAUUAGUUUUUUAAUUGGGAACUGGUAUGAAAGGUCGAACGAAAAAGAGGCUGUCUCGAUUUAAAUUUAAUUAGAAUUUUAUUUUUAAGUAAAAAAGCUUAAAUGAAUUUAAAAGACGAGAAGACCCUAUAGAGUUUUAUAUUUAAUUAAAGUGGGAAAAAUUUAAGAAUUUUAUUUUUUUUAUUUUUAUUUAAAUAUUUGGUUGGGGCGAUUAAAAAAUUUGAAUAACUUUUUUUAAAAUUUAUACAUUGAUAUAUGAAUAAGUGAUCCAUUAAUUAUGAUUAAAAGAUUAAAUUACCUUAGGGAUAACAGCGUAAUUUUUUUUGAGAGUUCUUAUCGAAAAAAGAGUUUGCGACCUCGAUGUUGGAUUAAAAUUUACUUUUGGUGUAGAGGCUAAAUAAGUUAGGUCUGUUCGACCUUUAAAAUUUUACAUGAUCUGAGUUUAAACCGGUGUAAGCCAGGUUGGUUUCUAUCUUUAAACAAACUAAAUAUUUUAGUACGAAAGGAUCAAGUAUUUUUAAUAAUUAAUUUAUUUAGAUUUUUAUUAAUUUAGGAUUACUUUGGCAGAAUAGUGUUU